rnacentral:lncRNA from 1 species
GAUCUAUGAGUUCAAUCUCAUUUGGCAACAUUUUGGAAACAUUGAUCUCUAUGAGCAUGCGUGCAAAUGAAAUCCUUGUCUGCUUAGUAGUGCAUUCAUCAGCAAAUAUAGGUUUACCAAGGACACUGGCUAUCCUACUUAAUGACCUAAUACCCCAGCAUGACAUAGGGAGGUUAGGGAACUUCACCCACAGAGGAAUGUCAUUGGGAAACUCGGCAGUGAAAUCAAAAUCAGCAGACCACUGUUUCAAAAUCAUAGGUCUAUUAGCAAUAGUAUAUG